AACGAACGCUGGCGGCAGGCCUAACACAUGCAAGUCGAGCGCCCCGCCAGGGGAGCGGCGGACGGGUGAGUAACGCGUGGGAACGUACCCUUUGCUACGUAAUAGCCUCGGGAAACUGGGAGUAUUACCGUAUGUGUCCUUCGGGAGAAAGAUUUAUCGGCAAGGGAUCGGCCCGCGUUGGAUUAGGUCGUUGGUGGGGUAAUGGCCUACCAAGCCGACGAUCUAUAGCUGGUUUGAGAGGAUGAUCAGCCACACUGGGACUGAGACACGGCCCAGACUCCUACGGGAGGCAGCAGUGGGGAAUCUUAGACAAUGGGCGCAAGCCUGAUCGAGCCAUGCCGCGUGAGCGAUGAAGGCCUUAGGGUUGUAAAGCUCUUUCAGGGGGGAAGAUAAUGACUGUACCCACAGAAGAAGCCCCGGCUAACUCCGUG
rnacentral:rRNA from 1 species